rnacentral:lncRNA from 1 species
GGGACGAUAACGUGAAAAUACAUGUUGGAAAAAAAAAAGGGAAUUUCAGCGGCUUCUCGAUUCUUCCAAGUCUUCUCCUUUCCACUUAUAAAUAAUCAGGGGAUCCCACGCCAUAUUUGCUGUCAAAAAACUUGUGUCCAAAUUUCUACGUAACCUUAAGCUGACCCCAUCUCCACCUUCAAUCUGGUAAGCUUUCUUUUUCUCAGAAAGCCUGGGUUUUGAUUUUUUGUUUUUUUUAAAUGAUUCGAUCUUUCUUUUAAUAAUUUUGCAUGUGUUUAUGUUUUGUUUCCAGGUUCUUGUUCAGAGCAAUUUAUUGUUAGAUCUUUGUUUGGCUGUUCCAGAAUCGAGAAUGAGUCAUAUCCUUACGAUAUGUUCCUUUUCUCUGAUUUAAGAUCACGCUAAUAUCGAUCCAAUUCUUUGUUUUGAUGAACAAGAUUCUCUUAUCUUCUACUCCCUCUCCCUCUGUUCCAGUUUAUGUGAACCUAUUUCCUUUUUGGUCCGUUCCAAAAAGAAUGAACCCUUUCUAAAUUUGGUAACAAUUUAGCUUAAAGUUGCGUAACUUUAAGCUUUUAUAACCACACAAAUACUCCAUUUGGACUUGUUUAGAAUCACAAGUUCCAAACGGAGGGAGUAUUCGAUUGCCGAGAAAUUGAGAAAAAAUAUCCAAAAUUAAAGAUUUUUUAUUUAAUUUUGUUGGGGUAAUCUAUUAAAUUGGGAAUCCCCUUUCGAGAUAUAUCCUCAAUUGGCUCGGUAUCCAAAGAAUUGGUUUAGUUAGGACCUAAAGAUUGAAUUUUUGUGGCUCAAAGAAUGGCAUUUUUGUUUCUGAUUGUUGUCUGUUUUUGACUUAACUCAAGCUAACGCGGAAAUCAGAGAGAUAGAGAUCGUGAAAGGGCACAAGCCAGGGCAGGUAGCAAACCCAAACAGCCCAAAGGUGAUGGAUUGACCCCUGAACAAAGACGAGAAAGGUUCUUUCUUUCCUCCUAAACAACCCUCAAUUUCAUUGUGUUUAGUACGACGGAAGUUAAUGAAGUUAUUUUUCGUGAAAAUGCUUUUCCACGAUAUGUUUUUUUUUUUAAAUAAAAUUAUUUUUCAACGUUUAAUUGAGAGCUCAAAGAAAACUUACGUGGUAAAUAUUAAAAAUUAAUCCUAAUAUAAUGUUUUGAUGAAACUAUUAGAAUUUAUAGUCUUUAAAAAUGAUUUUCCGCCAUAUAUGAGACCAGUUUUUCUCCUUCUGAAUGAAAAAUAUUUUGUAGAAAGUAAACUUCGUCGAAUAUAUUGAAAAAUAAUUCCGUCCUACCAGACAAACUCUAGCUGUUUUUAUCCAUUGAAGCUAACGUGGGGUAUUCUUGUUUAUGAUUUGAACAGAGACGCAAAGGCACUUCAAGAAAAAGCAGCAAGGAAAGCGGCGCAGGCUGCUGGUGGUGGAAAUAACCAAUCUGAUAGUAAACUAAUUAAGAAGAAAUAGUAGAAUUUAGCAAGGAAAGUUGUGUUGUUGAUACAGGAGUAGGUAUAAGGGAAUCUUGUGGAUGAAUCAGGCGUGGUUUCUGGAUAUUGGAGGUCAUUGUUGUUCAUGUCACAGCAAAGUGUUUGAAAUAUUUGCUUCCAUUUGUUCAUGUCAUUUGUCAAGUAUUUGGAAUAUUCUACUUUAGUUUUGGCAUGUAUGGUCCUUAACUGUUUGUAUCUGAUUUGCAAUGAAAUUUCCUAUUGUGAUUAACUUACGCUAAGUGGUAACUACUGAUAUUAGUUUAGUUACUUAAAUUUGGAUGUUCCGUUAAAUGCUAGUGUUUCUCUUGUGGUAGUCAUAUAGUUUAUCACAUUUACACCAAGUUGAGAACAGGAUAGAAUUUGAACUUUGAAGAUUCCAGCUGUUGCUGAGGAUAUCAUAUGUAAAAGUUAAUAAUAAAGGAUUGAAAUUUUUCUCUUAUGUAAUAGUCUCUGUGAACUCACCUUUAUUGCUCCUCAAUAAUCACAAACAAAAAUUUAGGUAAUUUUUGUAAUUCUUAUCUUCUUUUUUUUAAUACAAAUCAG